rnacentral:lncRNA from 1 species
CAAAACCCAAACCAAAACAACUCCCUGACAGGAUUGUCAAAAAAUUAUUAUCCUAAAAAUAAGAUACAGAAAUUAAUUAUAGAAGAAUUAAUAUUAUGACAGUAUUUAGGGUUUCCUGCAUUACUGAUCUUUCUGUCUCAGUUCAGCUGUGCUUCCACUGCGCUUCAGAUACUCCAUUUGGAUUUUCACAGGACAUGAAGUGUGGUACCUUUCAUCUGGAUUACAUGGAAAAUAAAGACAUUGAAGGCAAAGAGCAAGAGACACAGAUGGACACUCACUUUAUAAGGCUGAAGCUUCGCUCACCUAUGGAAAGGGUUAGGACUCCAAAGCUGAAUGCAGAAACACCAAACUAUAAACAAAUUAAGCUUAGAAAGGAAUGGGGAGUAAGACACACAGUGGAAAUUUUAGGACAGACCACAAGCUGGAAGACAUACAAGCAAGGUAAAGCACUUGAAAAGCACAUGAAGAAAGAGGAAAAAAGUACUCCAGCAGAUUAUUUCCAGUCACUGCAGAACUGAAUUAUUUUUGAAGUGGUGAUUGACUGAUGGAAGUCUCUGUACUCUCCUGAGUGAUCCAG